rnacentral:lncRNA from 1 species
UUUUGAACUGGCAUAGAGCUUAGUCUUCUGAUCCUGAGGCAUGAUAACUCUAGCAUGGACAGCAAGCUGUAAUGCAAACAGUUGUGUUGAUGCAAAGGUGACCUGGAAGAUGGAUAAUGAGGGAUCGAACUCAGGACCUUGCACUUGCGAGGCAAGUGGCGGAACCACUGAGCUAAAACCCCAGCCAAUUGCUUGAUUUUGAUUGUCUGUG